rnacentral:rRNA from 1 species
AUUGAACGCUGGCGGCAUGCCUUACACAUGCAAGUCGAACGGCAGCACGGGUGCUUGCACCUGGUGGCGAGUGGCGAACGGGUGAGUAAUACAUCGGAACGUACCUUAUCGUGGGGGAUAACGCAGCGAAAGCUGUGCUAAUACCGCAUACGCCCUGAGGGGGAAAGCGGGGGAUCGCAAGACCUCGCGCGAUUAGAGCGGCCGAUGCCUGAUUAGCUUGUUGGUGGGGUAAAAGCCCACCAAGGCGACGAUCAGUAGCUGGUCUGAGAGGAAGAUCAGCCACACUGGGACUGAGAAAAGGCCCAGACUCCUACGGGAGGCAGCAGUGGGGAAUUUUGGACAAUGGGGGCAACCCUGAUCCAGCAAUGCCGCGUGAGUGAAGAAGGCCUUCGGGUUGUAAAGCUCUUUUGUCAGGGAAGAAACACCGGCUCUAACACAGUCCGGGAAUGACGGUACCUGAAGAAUAAGCACCGGCUAACUACGUGCCAGCCGCCGCAGUAA